CUCUAGCAAAGUAAGUUUCUUUACUUGUGGAUGCACAGUGGCUUCACACAGCAACUCCUUUAGUUGUGUACACAGACUAUUGUUUGUAUGGGUCGCCCUAAGGGACCUUAAAGAAGUUU
ensembl:snoRNA SNORA70 Small nucleolar RNA SNORA70